ensembl:lncRNA
UGAAAUCACACGCAGCCUCUAUUUUUUUAACCAAUCUGAUCGCAGUUGAUUUAGUACGUCAGACCAUUCAAAGCUCACGGCAGAAAAGAUGGCACAGGUGUGGAAGGUCGUCGAAUUCAAAGAUAGGAGCACUACCAUAGUGCCAAGCAGCUGGUUGGAGGAGGCAGGGGAGUCAUGGAAUUGUUUCUGGCCUCCUAGUUCUUAUGAUCAUAUCCGCCUCCAGAAGGCAGUCGCGCACCACCUUCCUCCAGGUGCAGCGUGGGACGUGCACGGUGACGUGAGGGUCUUGGUUAGCUGUGCAACAUAUGUUAAGGCAAAGGACUACCUGAAAAAGUCCUUACAGUGCUUAACAUCAGACAAGACCCUAUCAGAAGGAAAAGAAGGUAAAAACCAAAAAAUGUUCUCCUCUCCAGAGGUGAAUGGGGCCACACAUUCCCGCUAUCCAUCAGACCCUCCCAACCCUCUAAGCCCCUUCCUUGGAUAAACGACUCCCUUCCAGUGGCGUUUCUACAUUAGGGGCAGGUGGGGCAGUGCCCCACCAGACCCAC